UGCGCACGCUCACCCUCAAAUAUCCCACUCGCCAUUCCAUCUCCAUCCUGCAUGCUCAUUCUUUCCUCGGUUCAGGAAGAAAGAAAGAAAAAUGGCAAGGGUGCUCUUUCUCUUAUGUCUACUUCUGCUAAUAACUGAGUCUGAUUCAAGAAGGUUGAUGAUGGUGCCUGACAAGCCAACUCGUGCUUCUACGUCUCAUGGACCAAGCACUGAGAAAGAAGGAUGCGAACGUGUCAACAAUAAGUGUGUCAUGGGGAAGUGGAUGGAAGCUCACACGGAUUAUAUCUACACCCAAGAUAUCAACGAUCCAUGAUCUGCUUCUAAAUUUGCUUCUUCUUGUCUGUGUCUCUCUUGUCAUCCUCUUGGAUUAAGAUAUGUGGAGUUCUUGGCAAUUAAUCAUCUCUGCUGUCUAUGUGUCAUCAAGGGUCAUGUUUUUUUCUUUAACAAUGUGUGUGUAUGUGUGUAUAUUUGUUUGCUUACUGGUAUUUGGGUA